rnacentral:rRNA from 1 species
UACGUAGGAGGCAAGCGUUGUCCGGAAUUACUGGGUGUAAAGCGCGUGUAGGCGGCAGGCCAAGUCUGUGGUGAAAUCGCUCGGCUCAACUGGGCGGGGUCCAUGGAAACUGGUCAGCUGGAGGACGGUAGAGGUGAGUGGAAUUCCCGGUGUAGUGGUGAAAUGCGUAGAGAUCGGGAGGAACACCCGUGGCGAAGGCGGCUCACUGGGCCGGUCCUGACGCUGAGACGCGGAAGGCGUGGGGAGCGAACGGGG